UGGGGGAUAUUGCACAAUGGGCGAAAGCCUGAUGCAGCGACGCCGCGUGGGGGAUGAAGGCCUUCGGGUUGUAAACUUCUUUUGCUCUGAACAAGGCAUGCCUUUGGGGUGUGUUGAGUGUAGGGGUUGAUUAGCGCCGGCUAACUACGUGCCAGCAGCCGCGGUAAUACGUAGGGCGCGAGCGUUGUCCUGAAUUAUUGGGCGUAAAGGGCUUGUAGGUGGCUGGUUGCGUCUGUCGUGAAAGCUCAGGGCUUAACUGUGGGUUUGCGGUGGGUACGGGCUGGCUUGAGUGCAGUAGGGGAGGGUGGAAUUCCUGGUGUAGCGGUGGAAUGCGCAGAUAUCAGGAGGAAUACCGGUGGCGAAGGCGGGUCUCUGGGCUGUUACUGACGCUGAGGAGCGAAAGCGUGGGGAGCGAACAGG
rnacentral:rRNA from 1 species